GACGUAGGGCGCGAGCGUUGUCCGGAUUUAUUGGGCGUAAAGAGCUCGUAGGCGGCUUGUCGCGUCGUUCGUGAAAACCCACAGCUCAACUGUGGGCUUGCGGUCGAUACGGGCAGGCUGGAGUUCGGUAGGGGAGACUGGAAUUCCUGGUGUAGCGGUGAAAUGCGCAGAUAUCAGGAGGAACACCGGUGGCGAAGGCGGGUCUCUGGGCCGAUACUGACGCUGAGGAGCGAAAGCGUGGGGAGCGAACAGG
rnacentral:rRNA from 1 species